UACGUAGGGUGCAAGCGUUGUCCGGAAUUAUUGGGCGUAAAGAGCUCGUAGGCGGUUUGUCGCGUCUGCUGUGAAAAUCCAGGGCUUAACCCUGGACCUGCAGUGGGUACGGGCAGACUGGAGUUCGGCAGGGGAGACUGGAAUUCCUGGUGUAGCGGUGAAAUGCGCAGAUAUCAGGAGGAACACCAAUGGCGAAGGCAGCACUCUGGGACGUGACUGACGCUGAGACGCGAAAGCGUGGGGAGCAAACAGG
rnacentral:rRNA from 1 species